CCUACGGGAGGCAGCAGUGGGGAAUAUUGCGCAAUGGACGAAAGUCUGACGCAGCAACGCCGCGUGAGGGAUGACGGCCUUCGGGUUGUAAACCUCUUUCAGCAGGGACGAAGCGAGAGUGACGGUACCUGCAGAAGAAGGACCGGCCAACUACGUGCCAGCAGCCGCGGUAAUACGUAGGGUCCGAGCGUUGUCCGGAAUUAUUGGGCGUAAAGGGCUCGUAGGCGGUUCGUCACGUCGGGAGUGAAAACUCGGAGCUCAACUCCGAGCCUGCUUCCGAUACGGGCAGACUAGAGGUAGGCAGGGGAGAGCGGAACUCCUGGUGUAGCGGUGGAAUGCGCAGAUAUCAGGAAGAACACCGGUGGCGAAGGCGGCUCUCUGGGCCUUACCUGACGCUGAGGAGCGAAAGCGUGGGUAGCGAACAGGAUUAGAUACCCUGGUAGUCCACGCCGUAAACGUUGGGCGCUAGGUGUGGGGGACAUUCCACGUCCUCCGUGCCGCAGCUACGCAUAGCGCCCGCCGUCGGGAGGUACGGCCGCGACGGACGUAAACCGUACAAUAGAAGUUAGACGGCGUGAGACGUCGCCGACGGACGACCGACGAGGGAGUAGG
rnacentral:rRNA from 1 species